GAUGAACGCUGGCGGCGUGCCUAAUACAUGCAAGUCGAGCGAACGGACGAGAAGCUUGCUUCUCUGAUGUUAGCGGCGGACGGGUGAGUAACACGUGGAUAACCUACCUAUAAGACUGGGAUAACUUCGGGAAACCGGCGCUAAUACCGGAUAAUAUUUUGAACCGCAUGGUUCAAAAGUGAAAGACGGUCUUGCUGUCACUUAUAGAUGGAUCCGCGCUGCAUUAGCUAGUUGGUAAGGUAACGGCUUACCAAGGCAACGAUGCAUAGCCGACCUGAGAGGGUGAUCGGCCACCCUGGAACUGAGCCACGGUCCAGACUCCUACGGGAGGCAGCAGUAGGGAAUCUUCCGCAAUGGGCGAAAGCCUGACGGAGCAACGCCGCGUGAGUGAUGAAGGUCUUCGGAUCGUAAAACUCUGUUAUUAGUGAAGAACAUAUGUGUAAGUAACUGUGCACAUCUUGACGGUACCUAAUCAGAAAGCCACGGCUAACUACGUG
rnacentral:rRNA from 1 species